rnacentral:lncRNA from 10 species
GGAGCAGAGCCUGGAGGCCGGGCUGGCCCGGGACCUGCCCGCCGUCUUGGCCCCCGGCAAGGAGUUCCUGCAGCUGCCGUCCAUCGAGAUCACGCCCUCCAGCGACGAGGACACCCCGUGGUCCAACUGCUCCACACCCAGCGCGUCCCCGCGCCGAAAACGCUUCCUCCUCCGCAAGUGGCUGAGGGUGAGGGAGCGGAAGGAGUGCAGUGAAAGCAGCAGCCAACAGAGCAGUCAGCAGAGCAGCCACGAUGAUGAUUCUAGCAGGUUCCUGAGUCCUCGAGCGCGGGAAGAAAGGUAAGGUCCAACUCCGAGGGCGAGAUGGGGGCAAAGAAUAGAGGGGGUGGGGUGGAAUGUUUGAGGAAGAUUGUGCCUCUGCUCUGUGCAAAAAAAUGUGGAAAACUGAAGAGGAAUGGGAGCGCCUGAGACCUCUGUGCUUGACUGAUUAGAAAGACAAAACUUUCACCCCAUAAAGGAGAAGGAGCAACACAAAGGGGCUGGUUCCAGAGGCUUUUUGUGUUCAGCAAAAGAAGUCAACGUGUGGCAAACCAAAUAGGUUGAAAAGACUUCAUACUGAGCAGGGCUUGGUGGCUCACACCGGCAAUCUCAUUACUUUGGGAGGUCGAGGCGGGCGGAUCACUUGAGAUCUGGAGUUCGAGACUAGCCUGGUCAACACGGUAAAGCCUCAUCUCUACUGAAACUACAAAAAUUAGCCAGACAUGGUGGCAUGUGCCUCUAAUUCCAGCUACUCCGAGGCUGAGGCAGGAGAAUCGCUUGAACCUGGGAGGCAGAGGUUGCAGUGAGCCAAGAUCGCGCUACUGCACUCCAGCCUGGGCAACAGAGGGAGACUUCGUCUAAAAACAACAACAACAACAACAACAAACUUUACAGUGGAGUUAGGACUUGAGUCAUGCCCUAUAGGUUGGGUACAAUGUGGGUCAGGAGGUGAAGGGCAUUUUGUGCCUGAGGAAGCUGCAUAGCCCAGGAUGUCAGGUGUUGGAUGGUGUCAGGUGGCAGCAGCGUUAAUGAAAAAUGAGGUGGGAUGUCUAGGAUGCAAUGAAAAUAUGGAGGCUCUUCAAUGGUUGGUUGAGGAUUGGAGAUACAGCUAACUAAGCACUCAGUGUGAGGACCAGCCAGCACCUGCUUCAUGCAGUGCCUGUGAAUUGUAGACAGAGGUAAAUUUGCUGUAGCAAGUUAAACUUCUUUGCCUACAGAAAGUUGAUGGUAUUGACGUUAACCAAAAGGAAGUCUCAGCUGGCCUACCGCAGGGGCUCUGCUUUUGGUCUAGCUCUGUUUAUCGUUUUUAUCAACAAGCUGGGUGAAAAAGCAGAAGGUACUUUUACCACAUUUAUCAACUUAUGGUGGACCCUCUGCUGAGAGGGGGUAGAGAACACCAAGGAUGAUAGAAUCAAGACUUAAUAUUAUUUUGAGUAGAACAAUGGGUGGAAAUCAAGGAGAUAUUUUCUUUUUAAUGGAAAUGUGAUUUUUUAAUUUUUUA